rnacentral:rRNA from 1 species
UACGGAGGGUGCGAGCGUUGUCCGGAAUCACUGGGCGUAAAGGGCGCGUAGGCGGCCUGAUAAGUCGGGGGUGAAAUCCUGGAGCUCAACUCCAGAACUGCCUUCGAUACUGGCGACCUUGAGUCCGGGAGAGGUGAGUGGAACUCCGAGUGUAGAGGUGAAAUUCGUAGAUAUUCGCAAGAACACCAGUGGCGAAGGCGGCUCACUGGCCCGAUACUGACGCUGAGGUGCGAAAGCGUGGGGAGCAAACAGG